UCCCCCUAUGCAUGUGUUUAAGCCUCCAUCUCUUCUCCCUCGUGAUGCGCGACUCUCCUUUUCUUUGUUUACGGAUCAGCAUUCAGCAAGCAUUUCCUUCAUAUAGCACGUAGUUAGCAUGGUGUAUGCCACAUUGGAUGAAAAUGUUUUACAAAAGCCAAAAUUACUAAAUUUAAUGUCUCUUUAAAAUAUUCUUAGGGACUAAAAUG
rnacentral:lncRNA from 1 species